GGGGAAUUAGGGUUCAAUUCCGGAGAGGGAGCCUGAGAAACGGCUACCACAUCUAAGGAAGGCAGCAGGCGCGCAAAUUACCCAAUUCUAAUAGCAUAAGAGAGGUAGUGACAAGAAAUAACAGUACAAGGCAGUUAAAAUGCUUUGUAAUUGGAAUGAUAGAAAUUUAAAUACUUUUUAAAGUAUCAAUUGGAGGGCAAGUCUGGUGCCAGCAGCCGCGGUAAUUCCAGCUCCAAUAGCGUAUAUUAAAAUUGUUGCAGUUAAAAAGCUCGUAGUUGAAUUUUUGCUAAAAAUAACCGGUCUGCUUUUAUUAAUAAAAGUGGUAUCUUGGUGUGUUUUUAGCAAUAAUAUCCUUUGAAAUGUUUUUUACUUUAUUGUAAAGAGCAAUUUUCAGGAUUUUUACUUUGAGAAAAUUAGAGUGUUUCAAGCAGGCUAACGUUAUGAAUACUGCAGCAUGGAAUAAUAAAAUAGGAUUUUAGUUCUACGUUAUUGGUUUUAAGAACUAAAUUAAUGAUUGAUAGGAGCAGUUGGGGGCAUUUGUAUUUAACUGUCAGAGGUGAAAUUCUU
rnacentral:rRNA from 1 species